rnacentral:rRNA from 1 species
GGCAGACUUGAGUACUGCAGGGGAGACUGGAAUUCCUGGUGUAGCGGUGAAAUGCGCAGAUAUCAGGAGGAACACCGGUGGCGAAGGCGGGUCUCUGGGCAGUAACUGACGCUGAGGAACGAAAGCGUGGGUAGCGAACAGGAUUAGAUACCCUGGUAGUCCACGCCGUAAACGGUGGGCGCUAGGUGUGGGUUCCUUCCAC